UGGCAACGUCAUCCACCAAUCACAAGGAGGGAAAACGCUUGGCUAAAUGAGUGAAAUCCUCAGCUGCGCAAAAAGUGAAGGAAAGUCCGCCUGUUUUCCACAGGGUAUCCAAGUAGGUAGAAAAGUUUAAAAAUAAUGAGGAAUCACAACAAUGUAAUGCAAGAACAAUGGAUUACAUGACCUGAGUGGAAAUAUUUACUCUAAUAUGGAUUAUGACCAUUAAACAGCAAAGAUUCAAAGCAGCAUGUCAGUGGGAAGGAGCUCCUGUUUCUUCCAACAUCAGAUACCUACGCGCUUGUUUACUGUUGCUGGCGCUGGGAGAGACGCAUUUCAAAUCUCAAAGCAAGCAAAGCUGCAAUAACAGCUGUUGUUUGGACAUCUUUUCACCGCUCAGAAAACUGGAAAGGAUCUGCAUAUCCUCAGUCAUCUCUCGUCCUGAUUGUGACAGAAAUAAUCACAUAAGAUUUCAAUACUUUCCUAAAUUGAAAUGCGAAUAAAAGUCUCCUCUGUGUGAGGAAGUGAAACGGAUAACUUAGUUCCUGUCACUGCGAUCAGCAAGAGAAGGGAAUGCUGAACAUAUUUGUUCCGCCUAAUUAAACACAGAGAUAUGAAGCACAUUGCAGACUCUUUCUUGACCUAUUUUGUAUCUGCAGUUUGUAAAUUUAGUGCAGGUGUUCAGUGUUUUGGGCUCACAGGCUUCAGACAGCAGAAACUGCAGCAUGCUCUAUGUGGGCACUGCUAAACAAGUUACUGCUCUGAAAGACAAAGUGCUGUAAUUUCCUCUGGGACAACUGAGAGCCUUUAAUUAUUCAUAAAUUAAUAGACUGUAAAACUGUGUGUGUCCCUAGACGGCAACUUUAUGUCUUAUAUUUUACCAUUUUACUUUGGUUGUACAGUGAAAAAAAACAACAAAAAACUUUACUGUCAUAUAAAUAUCUAAGGGAGUUUAACAAGAGAGAUCUGAAAGGUAACUAUAGGGCUUUGAUUUCAACAUUGUAAUCUAGAGAUUAUGGGGAUAAAACAUGUAACUGUUUUUUAUGUAUCUUAGCCUGACUAACCAAACUUUAUUGUCAAAGACAUCUUACUUCCUCAGUUUAUUAAUGUGAAGGAUGCUUAGUUCUAAGAUUGACUUGCUAAGGGAAUUGUACAACUGUAGUAAACAUAAAUCAACUACAUUUUAUGGUAAACACUCUAAUAAU